rnacentral:rRNA from 1 species
GACGAACGCUGGCGGCGUGCUUAACACAUGCAAGUCGAACGGAAAGGCCCGGCUUGCAGGGUACUCGAGUGGCGAACGUGUCAGUAACACGUGGGGGAUCUGCCCUGCUCUUCGGGAUAAGCCUAGGAGACUCGGUCUAAUACCGGCGAGUAGCAAUUUUUAGUGUGAUGGUUGGACAGUUUUUUCGGUGUAGGAUGAGCUCGCGGCCUAUCAGCGUUUUGGUGGGGUAAUGGCCUACCAAGGCGGCGGCGGGUAGCCGGGCGGAGAGGGUGGACGGCCACAUUGGGACUGAGAUACAGCCAAGACUCCUACGGGAGGAAGAAGUGGGGAAUAUUGCAAAAUGGGCGCAAGCCUGAUGCAGAGACGCCGCGGGGGGGAUGACGGACUUCGGGUUGGAAACUCAUUUCGCUAGGGACGAAGCUUUUUGUGACGGUACCUAGAUAAGAAGCACCGGCUAACUACGUG